rnacentral:rRNA from 1 species
GACGAACGCUGGCGGCGUGCUUAACACAUGCAAGUCGAGCGGAAAGGCUCCUUCGGGGGUACUCGAGCGGCGAACGGGUGAGUAACACGUGAGUAAUCUGCCCUUGGCUUUGGGAUAAGCCCCGGAAACGGGGUCUAAUACCGGAUACGACGCACUCUCGCAUGGGAUGUGUGUGGAAAGUUUUUCGGCCAGGGAUGUGCUCGCGGCCUAUCAGCUUGUUGGUGGGGUAAUGGCCUACCAAGGCUUCGACGGGUGGCCGGCCUGAGAGGGUGACCGGCCACACUGGGACUGAGGCACGGCCCAGACUCCUACGGGAGGCAGCAGUGGGGAAUAUUGGACAAUGGGCGAAGCCUGAUCCAGCAACGCCGCGUGAGGGAUGACGGCCU